GUUUUUUUCCACAGCCUGAAAAGCUCAAAAACAAUGUUUUAGUGUUUCUGUAUUGGUUUCUAUCAGAACAGCCUCUAAUUGUCAUGUUCUGAUGUCAGAAUACUGUAUAACAGCUCAAUAUAUCCUAAAUGUACAGUUGCAAUUGCCGUGGUUUAUACUGGUGUUUCUACAGCCUGGAAAGCUCAAAAGCGAUGUUUUAGUGUUUCUGUAUUGGUUUCCAUCACACCAGCCUCUAAUGGUCAUGUUCUGAUGCCAGAAUACUGUAUAACAGCUCAAUACAACCUAAAUGUACAGUUGCAAUUGCCGUGGUUUAAACUAGUGUUUCUACAGCCUGGAAAGCUCAAAAACGAUGUUUUAGUGCUUCUCAAUUCGUUUCCAUCAGAGCAGCCUCUAAUGGUCAUGUUCUGAUGCCAGAAUACUGUAAAACAGCUCAAUACAUCCUAAGAGCAGAGUUGCAAUUGCCGUGGUUUAAACUAGUGUUUCUACAGCCUGAAAAGCUCAAAAACGAUGUUUUAGUGUUUUCUGCAUUGGUUUCCAUAAGAGCAGCCUCUAAUGGUCAUGUUCUGAUGCCAGAAUACUGUAAAACAGCUCAAUACAUCCUAAAUGUACAGUUGCAAUUGCCGUGGUUUAAACUAGUGUUUCUACAGCCUGAAAAGCUCAAAAAACGAUGUUUUUGUGUUUCUGUAUUGGUUUCCAUCAGAGCAGCCUCUAAUGGUCAUGUUCUGAUGCCAGAAUACUGUAUAACAGCUCAAUACAGUCUAAAUGUACCAUUGCAAUUGCCGUGGUUUAAACUGGUGUUUCUACAGCCUGGAAAGCUCAAAAACGAUGUUUUAGUGUUUCUCAAUUCGUUUCCAUCAGAGCAGCCUCAUGGUCAUGUUCUGAUGCCAGAAUACUGUAUAACAGCUCAAUACAUCCUAAAUGUACAGUUGCAAUUGCCGUGGUUUAAACUAGUGUUUCUACAGCCUGAAAAGCUCAAAAACGAUGUUUUAGUGUUUCUGUAUUGGUUUCUAUCAGAGCAGCCUCUAAUGGUCAUGUUCUGAUGUGAGGAUACUGUAAAACAGCUCAAUACAUCCUAAAAGCAGAGUUGCAAUUGCUGUGGUUUAAACUAGUGUUUCUACAGCCUGGAAAGCUCAAAAACGAUGUUUUAGUGUUUCUCAAUUUGUUUCCAUCAGAGCAGCCUCUAAUGGUCAUGUCAGAAUGCUGUAAAACAGCUCAAUACAUCCUAAAAUUGGAGUUGCACUUGCCGUGGUUUAAACUAGUUUUUCUACAGCCUGAAAAGCUCAAAAACGAUGUUUUAGAGUUUCUGCAUUGGUUUCCAUCAGAGCAGCCUCUAAUGGCCAUGUUCUGAUGCCAGAAUACUGUAAAACAGCUCAAUACAUUCUAAAUGUACAGUUGCAAUUGCCGUAGUUUAAACUAGUUUUUCUACAGCCUGAAAAGCUCAAAAACGAUGUUUUAGUGUUUCUGUAUUGGUUUCCAUCAGAGCAGCCUCUAAUGGUCAUGUUCUGAUGCCAGAAUACUGUAUAACAGCUCAAUACAUCCUAAAAGCAGAGUUGCAAUUGCCGUGGUUUAAACUAGUGUUUUCUACAGCCUGAAAAGCUCAAAAACGAUGUUUUAGUGUUUCUGUAUUGGUUUCUAUCAGAGCAGCCUCUAAUUGUCAUGUUCUGAUGUCAGAAUACUGUAUAACAGCUCAAUACAUCCUAAAUGUACAGUUGCAAUUGCCGUGGUUUAAACUGGUGUUUCUACAGCCUGGAAAGCUCAAAAACGAUGUUUUAGUGUUUCUGUAUUGGUUUCCAUCACACCAGCCUCUAAUGGUCAUGUUCUGAUGCCAGAAUACUGUAUAACAGCUCAAUACAUCCUAAGAGCAGAGUUGCAAUUGCCGUGGUUUAAACUAGUGUUUCUACAGCCUGAAAAGCUCAAAAACGAUGUUUUAGUGUUUCUGUAUUGGUUUCCAUCACACCAGCCUCUAAUGGUCAUGUUCUGAUGCCAGAAUACUGUAUAACAGCUCAAUACAUCCUAAAUGUCCAGUUGCAACUGCCGUGGUUUAAACUAGUGUUUCUACAGCCUGGAAAGCUCAAAAACGAUGUUUUAGUUGUUGGGGGACCUCAUGUGUAUAAACGGUUAUUGACAGAAUCAGUAUCAAGGACCCACAUGCAUUCUCCUCAGACAAAGGGAAUUCUGCGGCCUGCAUGUAAACUCCUCAUCCUGAUAGUAGUGAGUGAGAACAAAGAGAUUUCAAAUCUCGGCGCCAAAACCAGGCGCCAGGCUGGGGAACCACACCUGGCUCCCCGCUGUGAAGGCCGAACCCCCGUGGAUACAAGCGACAGUCGGCGGAGAAACUUGGACAUCAGCCGGAAGAACUUGGACGUCAGCCACCCUGAUUGGACCAAACAAUAGGAUGGGCGUGACCAAAAACACGGUUAUAAAAGUCGCCGUGACCCUUGUUCCUCCCUUGUUCUCUUCGAUCUCCCGUUUCCCCUUCCUCUCUUCGACCCUCUCGCUGCCCCACCUGGAGCUUCCCUCGGCACCAGCACGCCUGAAGCCUCCACCGCAGCCAGCAGCUGAACCAACGGAGACGUCGUCACAGAGAACGGGCCUGAUCACCCAUCUACUUCCAGCCCACACUGCAGGAAACCGCCAGCUUAAACGCCUCACCGCCGCCGCAUCAGCUGAUCACGACGCGAUCACCGCGACGCACACCUGGACCGGACCGGACCGCAACAGCGCAAGCACGCACGCACGCACGCAACGCCGGAGCUUCUCACCAGGAUUGAGCAGUAAGGCAGAGGCAUUCUUAAGUCUGAGCAGAGUAGAACUCUUAGGGUAUCAGUAAUUGUUUUAUUGUUGUGUUGUUUCUUUUCCUGCACACACGAUCUGACCGCUGUGUAUUUCCGCGAUCACGUGACUGUAACGCUGUUACAGAUCUACGUGAAUCUAAGAGGUGCACAUUGAAGUGUUGUAACCUGUGAUUUCGCUAGCUUAAGUACUUUAUUGUGUUACUGUGUAGUGCUCUGUUUCUGCUGCGACCACGCCAAGCGCACGUUUCAACCACUGCACGCUUCCGCGAUCACGUGACUAUAUCGCAGAAUAUAGCCCCACGUGUUUGUGUGACCACAAGCCUUAUCCACGCUAGUCCCACUUCACACUCCUUUACACGCUUCUUUCCCUGUGAGCGCCAGACACGCGCGCUCCAUUCAAAGGGCUCACCGGCACACGCGCGCAGCUGUGCCACCUCACCACGCCCCUAAAGGGGGGCGCUCUCCUCCUCCUCCUCUUCUCUCUUUCUCUCUCUCUCUCUCACCCUCACACACACAUACACACACACACACACACACACACACACACACACACCCCUCUUAUCUCAGGUAACGCGCAUACACAUACAGAACGCUAGACGAACACACCAUAUAAUUAAGUUGUGAUUUGCUGAGUUAUUCAAGAUAGUGUUGACACUAGAGUUAAUAUUAACUGUUUAAUAAAGCGUUCAUAAUUUAAUCA
rnacentral:lncRNA from 1 species